rfam:Camelus ferus unplaced genomic scaffold scaffold100062, whole genome shotgun sequence.
GAGGGUAUAGUUCAAUUGACAGAGUGCCUGCUUAGCGUACAUGAGGUCCUGGGUUCAAUCCCCAGUACCUCCA